rnacentral:rRNA from 1 species
GACGAACGCUGGCGGCGUGCUUAACACAUGCAAGUCGAACGGAAAGGCCCUGCUUUUGUGGGGUGCUCGAGUGGCGAACGGGUGAGUAACACGUGAGUAACCUGCCCUUGACUUUGGGAUAACUUCAGGAAACUGGGGCUAAUACCGGAUAGGAGCUCCUGCUGCAUGGUGGGGGUUGGAAAGUUUCGGCGGUUGGGGAUGGACUCGCGGCUUAUCAGCUUGUUGGUGGGGUAGUGGCUUACCAAGGCUUUGACGGGUAGCCGGCCUGAGAGGGUGACCGGCCACAUUGGGACUGAGAGACGGCCCAGACUCCUACGGGAGGCAGCAGUGGGGAAUAUUGCCCAAUGGGCGGAAGCCUGAUGCAGCAACGCCGCGUGCGGGAUGACGGCCUUCGGGUUGUAAACCGCUUUCGCCUGUGACGAAGCGUGAGUGACGGUAAUGGGUAAAGAAGCACCGGCUAACUACGUG